CCUACGGGUGGCAGCAGUGGGGAAUAUUGCGCAAUGGGCGAAAGCCUGACGCAGCGACGCCGCGUGAGGGAUGAAGGUCUUCGGAUCGUAAACCUCUGUCAGCAGGGAAGAACGGUCACUGUGCUAAUCAGCAGUGAAUUGACGGUACCUGCAAAGGAAGCACCGGCUAACUCCGUGCCAGCCGCCGCGGUAAUACGGGGGGUGGGAGCGUUAAUCGGAAUUACUGGGAGUAAAGCGCUCGUAGGCGGUAUGUCCAGUCAAGGGUGAAAUCCCCGCGCUCAACGUGGGAACUGCCUUUGAAACUGGCAAACUGGAGUGUGUGAGGGGAUAGUGGAAUUCCAGGUGUAGGAGUGAAAUCCGUAGAUAUCUGGAGGAACAUCAGUGGCGAAGGCGACUAUCUGGCACAUAACUGACGCUGAGGAGCGAAAGCGUGGGUAGCAAACAGGAUUAGAUACCCCUGUAGUC
rnacentral:rRNA from 1 species